GAUGAACGCUGGCGGUAUGCUUAACACAUGCAAGUCGAACGGGCUCUUCGGAGCUAGUGGCGGACGGGUGAGUAACGCGUGAGAACAUGCCUUUAGAUUGGGGACAACAGUUGGAAACGACUGCUAAUACCGAAUGUGCCUUAGGGUGAAAGAUUAAUUGUCUAGAGAUUGGCUCGCGUCAGAUUAGCUAGUUGGAGUGGUAACGGCACACCAAGGCGACGAUCUGUACUUGGUCUGAGAGGAUGACCAGGCACACUGGAACUGAGACACGGUCCAGACUCCUACGGGAGGCAGCAGUGGGGAAUUUUCCGCAAUGGGCGAAAGCCUGACGGAGCAAUACCGCGUGAGGGAGGACGGCUUUUGGGUUGUAAACCUCUUUUAUCAGGGAAGGAUCGAUGACGGUACCUGAUGAAUCAGCAUCGGCUAACUCCGUGCCAGCAGCCGCGGUAAUACGGAGGAUGCAAGCGUUAUCCGGAAUUAUUGGGCGUAAAGCGUCCGUAGGUGGUUUAUCAAGUCUGCUGUCAAAGCGUGCGGCUUAACCGCAUAAGGGCAGUGGAAACUGAUGAACUAGAGUGCGAUAGGGGUAACAGGAAUUCCCAGUGUAGCGGUGAAAUGCGUAGAUAUUGGGAAGAACACCAGCGGCGAAAGCGUGUUACUGGGUCUGCACUGACACUGAGGGACGAAAGCUAGGGGAGCGAAAGGGAUUAGAUACCCCUGUAGUCCUAGCCGUAAACGAUGACAACUAGGCGUGGUUCGUAUCGACCCGAGCCGUGCCGUAGCCAACGCGUUAAGUUGUCCGCCUGGGGAGUACGCACGCAAGUGUGAAACUCAAAGGAAUUGACGGGGGCCCGCACAAGCGGUGGAGUAUGUGGUUUAAUUCGAUGCAACGCGAAGAACCUUACCAAGGCUUGACAUCCUCGGAACCCUGAUGAAAGUUAGGGGUGCCUUCGGGAGCCGAGAGACAGGUGGUGCAUGGCUGUCGUCAGCUCGUGUCGUGAGAUGUUGGGUUAAGUCCCGCAACGAGCGCAACCCACGUUUUUAGUUGCCAGCAUUCAGUUGGGCACUCUAGAGAGACUGCCGGUGACAAACCGGAGGAAGGUGUGGAUGACGUCAAGUCAGCAUGCCCCAUACGCCUUGGGCUACACACGUACUACAAUGCGUCGGACAAAGAGCAGCCAGCCAGCGAUGGUGAGCCAAUCUCAUAAACCGACGCUCAGUUCAGAUUGCAGGCUGCAACUCGCCUGCAUGAAGGCGGAAUCGCUAGUAAUCGCAGGUCAGCAUACUGCGGUGAAUACGUUCCCGGGCCUUGUACACACCGCCCGUCACACCAUGGGAGUUGGUCACGCCCGAAGUCGUUACUCUAACUGCUUGCAGAGGAGGACGCCGAAGGUGGGGCUGAUGACUGGGGUGAA
rnacentral:rRNA from 1 species